AUGAGAUUGAGAAGGAAGAUGAGAUUGAGAGGAUGGGAGGGAGAAGUAACAAAAGUGAAAACUAAAAACUAAAAUCUAUUUGAAAUUAUUUUUACUUUCAAGUUUUUAUUUUCACUUUUGUUACUCAUCCCUACCAUCCUUUUCUCUCAUCCUCUCUCUUAAUCUCA
rnacentral:pre_miRNA from 1 species